rnacentral:misc_RNA from 1 species
AGAUUGGUGAGUUAUGAUUGAAGCGAAGGCAAGGAAAGAAAGAAAAGCUGAUUGGAUUCAAUGAAAGUACGAAGAGAAGAAGUAGACUGGACAACAACGACAAUGGGGCGGCGGCUCAAGGAACAAGCAGCUUCGGUUCAGGGUUUGCGUUUGAACGGAGUUCAAUCCAAUUGAUGAUGGGCUCAACUUCAAAAGUAAACCGACGCAGUAUUCCGUUAAGGC